rnacentral:tRNA from 1 species
GGCCGGUUGGCCCAAUGGCAAGGCGUCUGACUACGAUCCGAUCGUGCAAUCAGGAGAUUCUGGGUUCGACCCCCAGGCUGGUCA